rnacentral:rRNA from 1 species
GCCGGAGGAUGCAAGUGUUAUCCGGAAUCACUGGGCGUAAAGCGUCUGAAGGUGGUCAAAUAAGUCAACUGUUAAAUCUUGAGGCUCAACUUCAAAAUCGCAGUCGAAACUAUUAGACUAGAGUAUAGUAGGGGUAAAGGGAAUUUCCAGUGGAGCGGUGAAAUGCGUAGAGAAUGGAAAGAACACCGAUGGCGAAGGCACUUUACUGGGCUAUUACUAACACUCAGAGACGAAAGCUAGGGUAGCGAAUGGG